AUUGAACGCUGGCGGCAGGCCUAACACAUGCAAGUCGAACGAGUGGCGGACGGGUGAGUAAUGUCUGGGAAACUGCCCGAUGGAGGGGGAUAACUACUGGAAACGGUAGCUAAUACCGCAUACCAUCGGAUGUGCCCAGAUGGGAUUAGCUGGUUGGUGGGGUAACGGCUCACCUGGGCGACGAUCCCUAGCUGGGCUGAGAGGAUGACCAGCCACACUGGAACUGGGACACGGUCCAGACUCCUACGGGGGGCAGCGGUGGGGAAUAUUGCACAAUGGGGGAAAGCCUGAUGCAGCCAUGCCGCGUGUAUGAGUAAGGCCUUCGGGUUUUAAGGUACUUUCAGCGGGGAGGCGUUACCCGCAGAAGAAGCGCCGGCUAACUCCGUGCCAGCCGCCGCGGUAAUAC
rnacentral:rRNA from 1 species